rnacentral:rRNA from 1 species
UACGUAGGGGGCAAGCGUUGUCCGGAUUUACUGGGCGUAAAGAGCGUGUAGGCGGCCAAACAGGUCCGUUGUGAAAACUGGAGGCUUAACCUCCAGACGUCGACGGAAACCGUAUGGCUAGAGUCCGGAAGAGGAGAGUGGAAUUCCUGGUGUAGCGGUGAAAUGCGCAGAUAUCAGGAAGAACACCCGUGGCGAAAGCGCUCUACUGGACUGCAACUGACACUCAGGGACGAAAGCUAGGGGAGCGAAUGGG